GUGGCAGUAGCCUAGUUGUAGAGCUCCAGCUUUAUGCGCGGGAAGACCUUGGUUCGAUUCCCGGUUGCUUCU
rnacentral:tRNA from 1 species